UAUGAACGAUGGUCUUCCUUGAUCGCCGCUUCUUUGGGGGUAAUAAUAACAGGGACAUGUGUAGAGUCCUGUGCAGAGAAAUCGAAAAAAAGUAUAUAAUUACUUGAAUUAAUUAAAAAAUGCUCUUCCGCGGGUCGGAAGUGAAUCACCGGCAUGUUGCAAACAAGUUGCAUAGGGGACGGUUCGACGAGGACACUGUUCCUCUUGUCCCAGCCAGCGCCUUCCAGAAAGAUAGAGCGUAUGUACACGCCGUCCUGUAAUGGAAUGUACACACGGUUAGAAGCAUGCACACACGCCGCCACUUUCCUAGC